AGUGAAUAAGUCUCACAAGAUCUGAAGGUUAUAUAAAGAGAAGUUCCCUACACCACUUCUGUCUUUGCCUGCUGCCAUCCACGUGAUAUGUGACUUGCUGCUCCUUGCCUUCUGCCAUAAUUGUGAGGCCUCCUCAGCCACACGGAAAUGCUUAUAGGCAUAAGAGACUUGCCUUGUCUCAGAUGAAACUUUGGACUGUGGACUUUUGAGUUAAUGCUGAUAUUAGGACUCUGCUUACCCUUUGUGAAUAAGCCCAGUGAAUCUGCUGAGUGAUGAGAGAGAGAGUGGGCCAGUCACUUCAUUGCUCCAGGUGGUUAUGUUGAAGAUGUAAAUAUUCUCCCUGCUGUGAGUAUUACUGCAGCUGCCCAAAGAUGCUUUAUUUUAAAGAUGUGGAUACAGGAAGAUAAAAGCAUCAGAAACACUGCAUGGGUAAAAAGAAAGAAUGGACUAAAACAGAGGAAGAAAAUCCAGAAAAGGAGGACUCCAAUCCAGAUUAAAGGAAUUUCCAAAAUGGUGGCUGAGACAAAACCUGGGGUUCAAGUCAUGUUACAGAGAUGGUGUUCCAGAUUAGUGCAGAAUAGUGGGCUCAAGAAGAAAUGCCUUCAAGAAAAGAUUGAAACCAACACACUACAAGUUUGACAUUGGAAAAGUUGAAUUGAAGAGUUGUUGGAAGGUUCUGAAGACCUCAAAUGGACUGAGCCACACUACCAGCAUCCAGCAUCCAUGGUUCUCCAGUCUGCAGAUGGCCUAUUAUGGGACUUUUCAGUCUUCAUAAUUAUAUGAGAGAAAGAAAAUGAAAAGGAUUUGUAAACUAUAAAUCUCUAAACAGAUGGGAGGAAAGGAAUUGAUGAAACAAUAAAUUUAUUGAUGAAACAAUAAAAAUAAACAUAAAGAACCAAAGUCUAGGUUUUCAAAGGCCUGUGAAGAAACACAGAAGAGUUGGGUUGAGAUUCCUGAGAGCCUUGCUGGUCGUCUUUGAAAAAGGCUAGUCUGGCCUGGUUGUCAUGACGGGAAGCUGUGCCCUCCAGCGAUCCUCCCCUGUGGUCUGAGUGUUGUGCAGAUGCUCCUUGGGUCUGCUCCAGCUGUGAUCCCCAAUGACUGUGUCUUGAGGAAAUGCCCAGGCUGCCUCAAAGACCCUUUCAUGAGCUGCCACUAGCACUGGUCUGCUUCAUCCCUUCUUUAGUGUGUCUUGGAUGCAAACUGUUUCUUCGUGCAGGGAGAGGCAGUCACCUAGAACAGAAGAAGCCCCUGGAGUCAAGAGACUUCGACUUGGGUCCCUGCACUGGCAGUGUAACCCUUGCACAUCACAUAGCCAGUCCUGGCUUCAGUUACUUUCCCCACCUGGAGACUCGGGGUCGGCCCCUCUUCUGGGCUGGGCUGUGCUUUGGCAUCAUUGAG
rnacentral:lncRNA from 10 species